rnacentral:rRNA from 1 species
GUUAUACUGUCUCCUUUCUCUAAUCAGUGAAACUGAUCUCUCNNNNNNAGAAGCGGGGAUACUCCUAUAAGACGAAAAGACCCCAUGGAGCUUCAAACCCAACUACACCCUUAACUACCACAACCACACAACCUCUUAGGGCCCUGUAUAGUUGGUUUUAGGUUGGGGCGACCACGGAGUACAACCAAACCUCCGCAAUGAACGGGACCACUCCCUUAUCUAAGAGCCACACCUCUAAGAAUUAAAACACUAACAUAAAAUGAUCCAUGAUCUGAUCAAUGAACCAAGUUACCCUGGGGAUAACAGCGCAAUCCAUUUCAAGAGCCCCUAUCGACAAGUGGG